CACUGGGGAAACUGCUAGUGAACACAUGCUUUGUUAAUCAAAAAUCAGCUCAGGAAUAACUAUUAAGAACAAAUUUAACAAGAACAAGGAAGCUGACUUCACUGAUUAAGAGAUGUUUUUACAAGCAGUCCACAAAAAGAAAAACAGAAAACACAAAAGUGCAGGGGAAGGAGAGCACAAUAGUUAGAGUUUUCUUACAACUGGCUAACUCAGAAUAAUAUAAGUAGCACAAAAGAGAGAACGGAAAGUUUAAGUAUGAGAGAGAGAUUUUUGAACCAAAGUGUAUUGUGUCCCUGUAUUAAUGAGAGACCAAGGUAUUAAUAGUUUAAAAGCAGGUAGAAAAUAAGGUAAAAAUCGAAGUUCAUCGGUAAUUAUGGGGGCUCAAAAUCAAUCAGUCAUGAAAUCAAGGUAAGUAAUCCCUUUAAUUGAGGAGUUAACUUCAAAUGGUAAUAAACAUGUGACAAAUAAAAGGAAGUAAAUCGUAUAAGCCUGAGCAUAACUAAUAAGGAAAUAUAUUCAGCAUAGUACAAGUACACAACAUGUAAUAGAGGCUAGGUUCAACAUAUUUCAAUCAAAGAAAAUACUUAGGAAAUCAAUUAAUAGCAUACUUGACCAUAGAAUAAUUUUAGAAAAUAUUUUACAAGGUUAAAAAUCAGUAGAGGUAUCAUUCGAAAUCAAUAAAAGAUCAAUCAAAAAGACUCAAGGAUGCAAAAUUAGAAAAUUGCACUAAUUUAGCACAACUUUAUGAGAACCACCACAUAGUAAGCAAAAUCAGAACUCUAAGAAGCUGAGUUGGGCAAAAAUCAUAUAAGAAUUAGGGAUUCAUGUAGAACAUAGUCUGAAUUAAUAGAAUAAACAUGAUAUAAGUAGAAGAAGUGAAGAAUCAGAAACAUUGGUAAACAAAAUAGGAUAAAAUCACAUAGUAGCAGGAAUAGGCAUAAUCAGGAACCCGAACAAGCAAACAUAGUGUAAAAGUCACAGAAUCAUAGAAACAUGUAGAUUAGUUGAACACGUUAUCGAAACAAACUCAGAAACCCAAGAUUAGAACUAAGAAAUUAUGGUUUUCAACAUAAUGAAUCGGAUAAAAGGAAAACUUAAAUAAAUCAUUUAAACAUGGUGAAAUCGUAGAAAUAUGCUAAAAUUAGAAGGAAAACCCAUUUUUGAAAAGGGGUCAAGAAACCCUAGUUUGAAGACGAAGAGUCAUUUUAGAAGAAAUUAGAGAAAUCCUUAAGAAAAUAGUAGAGAUAACUCGAAUAGACUCAUAUCUCGUUACAGAUCAUAGAAAUCAAGUGUCAAAUAUAGGUUUCAGUGAUAGAACCCAGAGAUGGAGAGAUUCCAUCUUAGAAGCCAUAGAUCUAGCCGAAAAAUAGAAAGAUCUUACUCGGACGGGCCAAGAUGGCCUGAGAAUAGCAUAGAAACCAUGGAAGGUGAGUGAACCGCCUUCUUGUUCCCUUGAGGGCCUCAAGGCAGCAACAAACGGCACAUCAAGAGAGCCAUGGGGCUGGGGAUGGUGGUGAGACCACCAUGGUUAGCGGAGAACCAACGAGCGACGAGUAGAAACUAGGUUCAACAGAGAGGAUUUUGAGAGAAAUGAGAGAUGUAACGACGGAGAG
rnacentral:lncRNA from 1 species